rnacentral:rRNA from 1 species
UACGUAGGGUGCAAGCGUUGUCCGGAAUUAUUGGGCGUAAAGAGCUCGUAGGCGGUUCGUCGCGUCGGCUGUGAAAACCUGAGGCUCAACCUCAGGCCUGCAGUCGAUACGGGCGGACUUGAGUACUGCAGGGGAGACUGGAAUUCCUGGUGUAGCGGUGAAAUGCGCAGAUAUCAGGAAGAACACCAAUGGCGAAGGCAGCUCUCUGGGACGGUACUGACGCUGAGACGCGAAAGCGUGAGGAGCGAACAGG